rnacentral:rRNA from 1 species
GUAGGUGGCAAGCGUUGUCCGGAUUUACUGGGCGUAAAGAGCGCGCAGGCGGUCGUUCAAGUCGCGUGUGAAAGCCCCCGGCUCAACUGGGGAGGGUCACGCGAUACUGAUCGACUCGAAGGCAGGAGAGGGAAGUGGAGUUCCCGGUGUAGUGGUGAAAUGCGUAGAUAUCGGGAGGAACACCAGUGGCGAAGGCGACUUCCUGGCCUGUUCUUGACGCUGAGGCGCGAAAGCUAGGGGAGCAAACGGGAUUAGAUACCCCGGUAGUCCUAGCCGUAAACGAUGGACACUAGGUGUUGGUGGUAUCAACCCCGCCAGUGCCGAAGCUAACGCAUUAAGUGUCCCGCCUGGGGAGUACGGCCGCAAGGCUA